rnacentral:rRNA from 1 species
GACGAACGCUGGCGGCGUGCUUAACACAUGCAAGUCGAACGGAAAGGCGCGGCUUUUGUGGGGUGCUCGAGUGGCGGGCGGGUGAGUAACACGUGAGUAACCUGCCCUUGACUUUGGGAGAACUUCAGGAAACUGGGGCGAAUACAGGAUAGGAGCUCCUGCUGCAUGGGGGGGGUCGGAAAGUUUCGGCGGUUGGGGAUGGACUCGCGGGUUAUCAGCUUGUUGGCGGGGUAGUGGCUUACCAAGGCUUUGACGGGUAGCCGGCCUGAGAGGGUGACCGGCGACAUUGGUACUGCGAUACGGCGCAGACUCCAAUGGGAGGCAGCAGUGGGGAAUAUUACACAAUGGGCGGACGCCUGAUGCAGCAACGCCGGGUGCGGGAUGCCGGCCUUCGGGUUGUAAACCGCUUUCGCCUGUGACGAAGCGUGAGUGACGGUAAUGGGUAAAGAAGCACCGGCUAACUACGUG